rnacentral:rRNA from 1 species
CCUUAGAUGUUCUGGGCUGCACACGUGCUACACUGGCAGGUUCAGCGAGCUUCAUGCCCUGAUCUGAAAGGAAUGGGAAAUCUUUUCAAAACCUGCCGUGCUUGGGAUAGAUGUUUGCAAUUAUUCAUCUUCAACGAGGAUUGCCUUGUAAGCGCACGUCAUCAGCGUGCAUUGAAUACGACCCUGUAUUCUGUACACACCGCCCGUCGCUCCUACCGAUUGAAGUUUUCGGUGAGUUGACAGGAGGAUUUUUUUGAAACUGGUUCGCCAGUGGAUUUUAGAUCCAAAUGCCAACGAAUCGAUGGCUUUAGAGGAAGGAGAAGUCGUAACA